AGGAGAUGAGUCGCAAUGGAAGUAAAGAACCAGAAAAGGAAAUAAAGGAUACAACAGUCAGGAGAUCAGAGAGAAACCGUCAGCCGUCAAAGAGACUUGACUAUACUGAACUUGGAAACCCCUUUGUCACAGCUGUUAAAUCAUUAUUUCAGGGGUUAACCACAGCUGUGGCUGACAUUUUAACUGAAGGUGAAAACACAUAUCCUUCUGUCCUGUACCCUGAGAUACAAACAGUUCAACCAUUGCCAUGUACAGGGACGUACAUGAGUUCAAAGGGGGAGAGUGUAGCCAGGUUAAAUAAUGAGAAACCCUAUUUAGCUGUUUAACCCAGUCACGAAAGGGUUAACUUUAAUUUUGUAUAUUUGAUGGACGUGUAAGUGAGCCAAUGGGUGAAUUCUAUGAGGCACUGAGUUGACCAAUCAGCUGCCAGCUAGGCUCUGUUACAGUUACGCCUCUAGUUUUGCGUCACUGCACGUUCUUUUGGCGCUUGCACUUGAGCAUAGGAGGCUGCGUUAUCUGCUUGAGUGUAAACGAAAGCUGUGCCUGAAUCCACUGUUGUCACGGAGCUAAAGGCAGUGAAUUCCGUUAAAAUGGUCAGGUUUUGGUAAAGAGUUGGGAACAUCGGGCAGAGAUCCU